AUGACUUGAAUUUUUCAUGAUGAAAGAUAUUCCUGUGAAGAAUUGUUGCACUUAACUGAAUUUAGUCAUAAGCCUCUCUAAAGUCUGAAUUUUGUGAUAUUACAGCUGUGGAAAUCCCUAACACACAACACAUGAGUUAAUUUUGUUACUUAGACUGUCUUACUUCUUAGAUAUUAGAUAUGUACUCAGAAAAGAAUCUGCUUUCCU
rnacentral:lncRNA from 1 species